UACAGAGGGUGCAAGCGUUGUUCGGAAUUAUUGGGCGUAAAGCGCGUGUAGGCGGCUUUGCAAGUCGGGUGUGAAAGCCCUCAGCUCAACUGAGGAAGUGCGCCCCGAAACUGCAGAGCUUGAGUGCCGGAGAGGGUGGCGGAAUUCCCCCAAGUAGAGGUGAAAUUCGUAGAUAUGGGGAGGAACACCGGUGGCGAAGGCGGCCACUGGACGGUAACUGACG
rnacentral:rRNA from 1 species